rnacentral:rRNA from 1 species
GAUGAACGCUGGCGUCGUGCCUAAUACAUGCAAGUCGAGCGAACAGACGAGGAGCUUGCUCCUCUGACGUUAGCGGCGGACGGGUGAGUAACACGUGGAUAUCCUACCUAUAAGACUGGGAUAACUUCGGGAAACCGGAGCUAAUACCGGAUAAUAUAUUGAACCGCAUGGUUCAAUAGUGAAAGACGGUUUUGCUGUCACUUAUAGAUGGAUCCGCGCCGCAUUAGCUAGUUGGUAAGGUAACGGCUUACCAAGGCAACGAUGCGUAGCCGACCUGAGAGGGUGAUCGGCCACACUGGAACUGAGACACGGUCCAGACUCCUACGGGAGGCAGCAGUAGGGAAUCUUCCGCAAUGGGCGAAAGCCUGACGGAGCAACGCCGCGUGAGUGAUGAAGGUCUUCGGAUCGUAAAACUCUGUUAUUAGGGAAGAACAAAUGUGUAAGUAACUAUGCACGUCUUGACGGUACCUAAUCAGAAAGCCACGGCUAACUACGUG